AUCGUAUUUCCUCCAUUCGAAAAUAUUUGUCGGAGAAAUGGAUAAAAAUGGAUAUAACUAGACCUAAAAUACGUCUAGAUACAUUCAUUUUUCCGACAAGUAUUUCUGGACAGAGGGAGUACUUA
rfam:Triticum urartu cultivar G1812 contig63516, whole genome shotgun sequence.